GCAAACAUCAGUACGCCUCCUCUCCAACUGUCAUUGACAAAUUUAAUCUGAAAAUAUUCUGAGAUUGACCUCUGAAGAGCAAGGCCUGAGUCGCUUGGGGAAAAUAAGAGAAACCUUGUUUAUUGGGGGAAUGGGAAAGUCAAUAAAUCCCUGACGAGCUUUGAUCCUAAGAGAGCAACAGACAGAAGACACAGAUAUUUUUCCAAAUGCCCUGGAUGAAAACAGAGAUUAUUAGAAAGGACACAAGUGAAAAAGACUGCUCCAGAAAUGUUUUAGAUAACAUGUUACAGUCCCUCUCAACUGCAAAGGAAUCUUGGGAGGAAGAGAAAGAAGGAUUUUUGCAUGAAGUCAACCAGCAAGCAACACAAUUAGAGACCAUGUACUUACCAAUAAUAACAGUGUUGUCAUCAGCAAUUAGCAACUUGCUGUGGACAUAGAUGAGCUCAGUGACUAGGUUUCCUUCAAGCUCUGCAUGCGUUCUAAGGCCACAGAAUGAUAUGUAAUUUAUCCACUGAUUGCCAACUAUAAAGUAAAAAAGAAAGUAUUAAAAUGAAUAUGACCUAGCUCAAUAAAGGCACAUUAUAUUUUACUGUUUUUCAAAACAAAUAUACUCAUUAAAUAGGUGGUUUAGAUUGUAUAGUGUGUGUGUGUGUGUGUGUGUGUGUGUGUGUGUGUAUAAUAUCAGAACUCACCCAGGAUCUAUUUUUGCUAUCAGAAGAAUCUUGUAGUAUUAAUAUGGAUGGAUACACAU